GUCAGUUCUCUGCCUCAACAAGAAUGGAGUGCUUAAACGAAAAUUUUAGUAAAAUUUUUGGUAUAGAAAUUAGAGCUUAGAGAAUAACGUAUCUGGGCCCCCCUUUUUAUAGGCGGGGAGAGCAACGGAUUGAUAGCGAUUGUUUGUAACUGCCUCGUCGUGGGCUGCACGGGGCCAGGAGGAAUUUAUGAUGAAGAGCAAUGGGGU
rnacentral:lncRNA from 1 species